GGACUACAGGGGUAUCUAAUCCUGUUUGAUCCCCACGCUUUCGUGCCUCAGCGUCAAUAACUGCGUAGUGAGCUGCCUUCGCAAUCGGUGUUCUGUGUCAUCUCUAAGCAUUUCACCGCUACAUGACACAUUCCGCUCACCUCCACAGUAUUCAAGACUAAUAGUAUCAAUGGCAGUUCCGGGGUUGAGCCCCGGGAUUUCACCACUGACUUAAUAAUCCGCCUACACACCCUUUAAACCCAGUAAAUCCGGAUAACGCUCGCACCCUCCGUAUUACCGCGGCUGCUGGCAC
rnacentral:rRNA from 1 species